AUGAAAAUUGUAAGCUGGAACUGCCGGGGUCUCGGGAACGGCCCGACAGUUCGCAGCCUUCUCGAAAUGGGAAGGAAGGAGGAUCCCGAUAUUGUGUUUUUAGCUGAGACGAAGAUGACGGAGAAGGAGUUGGGACGGUUCAGAUGGAUGCUAGGGUUAGCUAAUAUGGUUGCCUGGAGUGCCGAUGGGAGGAGUCGUGGUGUGGCCAUGUUCUGGAGAAGGGGAGUGGAUGUAGGGUUGCGUUCUUAUGGACGACGGCAUGUUGAUGUCGACGUAACAGAAGGGAGUGGUAUGGUGUGGUGA
rnacentral:rRNA from 1 species